rnacentral:ncRNA from 1 species
UAUGAAGUUAUGAUAAGAAUUAGUAGAUAUGGGAAGCUUUCAGAGAGAAAGUGGUAGGUGAAAACUUUCAGUGAAACAUAUUGAAGCUGUCUUGGAGCUAUAAUUAAUUAAGAGAUACUAGUUAAUCUAGUAUAAUUAGGGUGGUAACGCGGAAAACUUUCGUCCCUUUU